GAGACGGGGUGGUGACUUCUCCCUGAGAGCUGAAACCAGCCUUAUCAUGUUAAACAAUAUAGGAAACAACAUACUUUCUGGUCCUUGUGCUAAAUAAUUCUGGGCAAAAGUAUACCUUCCUGAUUUCGUACUUAACAGUCCUGGGACUAGACAAAAUAGCUUAGCCUCUUACUCCAGGAAAUACCUGUUCCCGGAAGAUAAGAUUGUGAACCAAUCGGAAGAACAGCUUUCUCAUCGAUGCGUGCUUCCAGACGCUCCCUCACUGUGCCCACCAAUCUACAGCUAUUACAGCAACAGUCUGCCCAAUCCCAAUGGAAUGGGAGUGUGAGAGAGAAUGGUGUGUCAAGGACGACUCCAAGGUUUUUGACUGAGCAAACUGGGAGAGUGGCGUUGGGGAAGACCAGGGCUCAGCACCAGACAGUGAGUUUGAGAUGUCCGCGACAUAGCCACGUCGAGACGUUUCAUGAGAGUUGCAGAGAUGCUUCACCGUGUCAUGAAGUGGAUGAAAUGAGAUGUGUUUGGCAAUAAGCUUGGAGUUUUUGUCACCGUUGUCAGCACCACCUCGUAAUCAACACUGCUACCACUAAUUAUUCAAUCCUUCCUAUGUGCCAGAUAUGUUAUCUUAUGUAAUUCUCAAAAUAGUCUUAAUGACACAGCUGUCACUUCUAUUUUGUAAAUGAGAAAACAGGCCUCUAGAGAUCUCACUAAUGUUACUUAUUAUAAUUAAUUCAUCAAAUAUUAAUAGAGCACUUAUUAUGUGUCAAAGGGUAUUCUGAGGUUCUACAAAUAUUAUCACAUGUAAUUCUCAAGACAAUCUUAAUAAAGUAAGGUAUCAUUGUCCUUAUUUCACAGAUGAGAAAAA
rnacentral:lncRNA from 1 species